CUUCAUUACCUCCUAAAAGCCCUAUCUCCAAAUACAGUCACACUGGGGUCUAGGGCUUCAACCUAUGAAUUUGAGUUGGGGGGACAUAUAUCAAGACUGACUACUCGUAGAUUAUUUUAGCCCUGCAUGUUUAAUCAUAUUUGUAGAUAGCACUGUUGAAAAAUACAGAAAAAUUAUGAUAAUGAGUUACAUUUUACUUGAAAUAGCUUAGAAUCUUAGCAAGUCCUUUUUGAUAUAAAUUGUGGAGGGGUCAGUCACUUAGGUCUAUUUCAGAGAGAAACUUUCUAAGAAAUUCUCUAAAUAAGAUUCUUUGGUAACAAAGUAAAAUGUUACCUGACUUCUCAUCCCAGUAUCUCAAUUUUUUCCUAGGGCAAAAUCUUUUUCCCUUGAAGACUGGAAAUAUUAUCCAUGUUGUCCUCCGGAAUAUUUUCAAUGACUUGUGCCCUGCCAGCUCUAGCUUUUGAAGGGUCUACACUCAUCAUCAACAGAUUCUGGGGGUUCAUGCACAGAUUUCUUACCUGGGUAUAUUGUGUGAUGCUGAGCUUUGGAGUUCAACUGAUUUCAUCACCCAGAAGAACAACCAGAGAAAGCCAAGUAUGCACCUGAUGCCCCACUUCCAGUGAGCCGCCUCCAGCUUCCCACGCCAACAGCUUCCAAUCAGCACACUUUCGGAGCCUUCCCUUUUCUCCACGAUGAAAGCUUCCCCACUCCUCUGACUGCCUUUGAGCCUCUGCCAAAACUCAAGUGAUGGUAGCCGACUCCCUGCUACCGCAAGCUUGGAAUAAACAGCCUUUGCUUUUCUCA
rnacentral:lncRNA from 1 species